rnacentral:rRNA from 1 species
CAGAAACUUAAAGGAAAGUUGACGGGGCCCGGCACAAGCGGUGGAGUAUGUGGUUUAAUUCGAUGCAACGCGAAGAACCUUACCUGGUCUUGACAUCCCGGAGACCCUUAGGAAACUAGGGGGUGCUUCCAUCUGGAAGAAUCUGGAGACAGGUGCUGCAUGGCUGUCGUCAGCUCGUGUCGUGAGAUGUUGGGUUAAGUCCCGCAACGAGCGCAACCCUUGCCUUUAGUUGCCAGCAGGUCGGCUGGGCACUCUAAAGGGACUGCCGGUGUUAAACCGGAGGAAGGUGGGGAUGACGUCAAGUCCUCAUGGCCUUUAUGACCAGGGCUACACACGUACUACAAUGGCCGAUACAAAGGGCAGCGACACUGCGAGGUGAAGCCAAUCCCGUAAAAUCGGUCUCAGUCCGGAUUGGAGUCUGCAACUCGACUCCAUGAAGUUGGAAUCGCUAGUAAUCGUGGAUCAGCAUGCCACGGUGAAUACGUUCCCGGGCCUU